rnacentral:rRNA from 1 species
CCUACGGGAGGCAGCAGUCGAGAAUCAUUCACAAUGGGGGAAACCCUGAUGGUGCGACGCCGCGUGGGGGAAUGAAGGUCUUCGGAUUGUAAACCCCUGUCAUGUGGGAGCAAAUUAAAAAGAUAGUACCACAAGAGGAAGAGACGGCUAACUCUGUGCCAGCAGCCGCGGUAAUACAGCGGUCUCAAGCGUUGUUCGGAAUCAGUGGGCGUAAAGGGUGCGUAGGCUGUUUCGUAAGUCGUGUGUGAAAGGCGCGGGCUCAACCCGCGGACGGCACAUGAUACUGCGAGACUAGAGUAAUGGAGGGGGAAGCGGAAUUCUCGGUGUAGCAGUGAAAUGCGUAGAUAUCGAGAGGAACACUCGUGGCGAAGGCGGGUUCCUGGACAUUAACUGACGCUGAGGCACGAAGGCCAGGGGAGCGAAAGGGAUUAGAUACCCGAGUAGUC